UACAGAGGAUGCAAGCGUUAUCCGGGAUGAUUGGGUGUAAAGCGUCUGUAGGUGGCUUUUUAAGUCCGCCGUCAAAUCCCAGGGCUCAACUCUGGACAGGCGGUGGAAACUACCAAGCUGGAGUACGGUAGGGGCAGAGGGAAUUUCCGGUGGAGCGGUGAAAUGCGUAGAGAUCGGAAAGAACACCAACAGCGAAAGCACUCUGCUGGGCCGACACUGACACUGAGAGACGAAAGCUAGGGGAGCGAAUGGG
rnacentral:rRNA from 1 species